GACGAACGCUGGCGGCGCGCUUAACACAUGCAAGUCGAACGGAAAGGCCCUGCUUUUGUGGGGUGCUCGAGUGGCGAACGGGUGAGUAACACGUGAGUAACCUGCCCUUGACUUUGGGAUAACUUCAGGAAACUGGGGCUAAUACCGGAUAGGAGCUCCUGCUGCAUGGUGGGGGUUGGAAAGUUUCGGCGGUUGGGGAUGGACUCGCGGCUUAUCAGCUUGUUGGUGGGGUAGUGGCUUACCAAGGCUUUGACGGGUAGCCGGCCUGAGAGGGUGACCGGCCACAUUGGGACGGAGAUACGGCCCAGACUCAUGGGGGCGGCAGCAGGGGGGUAUAUUGCACGAUGGGCGGAAGCCGGAUGCAGCAACGCGGCGGGCUGGAUGACGGCCGGCAGGUGGUAACCCGCUACCGCCUGUGACGAAGCGUGAGUGAAGGUAAUGGGUAAAGAAGCACCGGCUAACUACGUG
rnacentral:rRNA from 1 species